GACGGAGGGUGCUAGCGUUGUUCGGAAUCACUGGGCGUAAAGGGCGCGUAGGCGGCGCCUGGUGUCGGAUGUGAAAGCCCGGGGCUCAACUCCGGAGGUGCAUCCGAAACUCAGGCGCUCGAGGCCGGAAGAGGAGGGUGGAAUACCCAGUGUAGAGGUGAAAUUCGUAGAUAUUGGGUGGAACACCGGUGGCGAAAGCGGCUCUCUGGUCCGGACCUGACGCUGAGGCGCGAAAGCGUGGGGAGCAAAC
rnacentral:rRNA from 1 species